CAUUUUCCUCUACAGGCUGAUGAACCUAUUGCUGAUUAUGCUGCAAUGGAUGAUGUUUAUCAAGUCUGUAUGCCUGAAGAAGGAUUUAAAGGCACUGGGCUGUUAGGACACUGAGUGGAACAAUGCUGACAAUGUCUGAGAAAGGAUAAAGCUUGAAUUACACAUAGAUGUUCAUUCUUGGGAAGCCUUUUUUUAAUUUUCUUUCUUUGGUUUUAUUUUUUAUUUUGUUAUUGAAUGUUGCAACAACUUCAAAAGUGUCAUUUUGCUUUAAAACAUCAUGCUCGCUUUUAAUAUUGAAAGAUGUUGAUGCAUUCUGCAAGAUUUUGUGGUCGUGCUUACCAUGACUGUGAAAAAUACGGGUCGAGAUUUCCUCAAAGGACGUUCCAUUUCAAGGAAAAUCGGAAUUCCUCCUUUGUUGCAAUGUCAUGUUCAGAGAUUAUGGUCUGAUCAUAUGUUGUGUGUAAAACAGUAAGUCUCUGUAAAUCCUUUGUUGAAAAGAAGCUUGUGAUGGCACUGCAAUAGAGCUCGUACAUAUUUAAGAAUGCAUGAGCAACUUGAAUAUUAAAAAAUAUUUAGUCUUUGUUUCAUUCAUGUAAAUAACCUCAUCCAAAUACAGCAGUGGAGAGGCGUCUAGAAAGAUGAGGAUAAAUAGGACACAUAUUACAGCAUUGUUAAAUAGUUUAGACAUGUUCUGCUACUUGAAAUAUAAAGCAGACAUUUGUGUGAACUUUUCUGUAUGUUCUUUCAUAUGGGCAAUAAAUAUUCUUUUUACAUCUUCAGAUGUGCAGUUUAU